CGUUCCCUACGGGGGGCAGCAGUGAGGAAUAUUGGUCAAUGGCCGGAAGGCUGAACCAGCCAAGUCGCGUGAGGGAAUAAGGCCCUAUGGGUUGUAAACCUCUUUUGUCAGGGAGCAACGCCGGCUACGUGUAGCCGGACUGAGAGUACCUGAAGAAAAAGCAUCGGCUAACUCCGUGCCAGCAGCCGCGGUAAUACGGAGGAUGCAAGCGUUAUCCGGAUUUAUUGGGUUUAAAGGGUGCGUAGGCGGAAUGCCAAGUCAGCGGUAAAAUCGCGGGGCUCAACCUCGCUCCGCCGUUGAAACUG
rnacentral:rRNA from 1 species